GACGAACGCUGGCGGCGUGCUUAACACAUGCAAGUCGAGCGGUAAGGCCCCUUCGGGGGUACACGAGCGGCGAACGGGUGAGUAACACGUGAGCAAUCUGCCCUUCACACAGGGAUAACUCCGGGAAACCGAAGCUAAUACCUGAUACGACCACUUCGGGCAUCCGAUGGUGGUGGAAAGUUCCGGCGGUGAAGGAUGAGCUCGCGGCCUAUCAGCUUGUUGGUGGGGUAACGGCCCACCAAGGCAACGACGGGUAGCCGGCCUGAGAGGGUGACCGGGCACACUGGGACUGAGACACGGCCCAGACUCCUACGGGAGGCAGCAGUGGGGAAUAUUGGACAAUGGGCGAAAGCCUGAUCCAGCAACGCCGCGUGAGGGAUGACGGCCUUCGGGUUGUAAACCUCUUUCAGCAGGGACGAAGCGCAAGUGACGGUACCUGCAGAAGAAGCACCGGCCAACUACGUGCCAGCAGCCGCGGUAACAC
rnacentral:rRNA from 1 species